CACCUGGCCCGAAGGGCCAAGUGAGCUUUUCUCAUCACUUGGCGUCCGUCGUCGUCGUCGUCGUCGUCCGUCGUCGUCCGUCGUCGUCCUGCGUUAACUUUUACAAAAAUCUUCUCCUCUGAAACUACUGGGCCAAAUUUAACCAAACUUGGCCACAAUCAUCAUUGGGGUAUCUAGUUUAAAAAUUGUGUCCGGUGACCCCGCCAACUAACCAAGAUGGCCGCCAUGGCUAUAAAUAGAACAUAGGGGUAAAAUGCAGUUUUUGGCUUAUAACUCAAAAACCAAAGCAUUUAGGGCAAAUCUGACAUGGGGUAAUAUUGUUAAUCAGGUUAAGAUCUAUCUGCCCUGAAAUUUUCAGAUGAAUCUGACAUUCCGUUGUUAGGUUGCUGCCCCUGAAUUGGUAAUUUUAAGGAAAUUUUGUUGUUUUUGGUUAUUAUCUUGAAUAUUAUUUCAGAUAGAGAUAAACUGUAAAAAGCAAUAAUGUUCAGCAAAGUAAGAUCUACAAAUAAGUCAACAUGACCAAAAUGAUCAGUUGACCACUUUAGGAGUUAUUGCCCUUUAUAGUCAAUUUUUAACCAUUUUUCGUAAAUCUUAGUAAUCUUUUAGAAAAAUCUUCUCCUCUGAAACUGCUGGGCCAAAUUAUUUGAAACUUGGCCACAAUCAUCAUUGGGGUAUCUAGUUUAAAAAUUGUGUCCGGUGACCCCGCCAACUAACCAAGAUGACCGCCAUGGCUAUAAAUAGAACAUAGGGGUAAAAUGCAGUUUUUGGCUUAUAACUCAAAAACCAAAGCAUUUAGAGCAAAUCUGACAUUGGGUAAAAUUGUUAAUCAGGUGAAGAUCUAUCUGCCCUGAAAUUUUCAGAUGAAUUGGACAACCUGUUUUUGGGUUGCGGCCCCUGAAUUGGUAAUUUUAAGGAAAUUUUGCUGUUUUUGGUUAUUAUAUUGAAUAUUAUUAUAGAUAUAGGUAAACUGUAAACAGCAAUAAUGUUCAGCAAGGUCAGAUUUACAAAUAAGUCAACAUGACCAAAAUGGUCAGUUGACCUCUUUAGGAGUUAUUGCCCUUUAAAGUCAAUUUUUAACCAUUUUUCGUAAAUUUUAUAUAUCUUUUACUAAAAUCUUCUUCUCUGAAACUGCUGUGCCAAAUUGAUCCAAACUUGGCCACAAUCAUCUUUGGGGUUUCUUGUUUAAAAAAUGUGUCCGGUGACCUGGCCAUCAAACCAAGAUGGCCGCCACGGCUAAAAAUAGAACAUAGGGGUAAAAUGCAGUUUUUGGCUUAUAACUCAAAAACCAAAUAAUUUAGAGAAAAUCUGACAUGAAGUAAAAUUGUUAAUCAGGUCAAGAUCUAUCUGCCCUGAAAUUUUCAGAUGAAUUGGACAACCUGUUUUUGGGUUGCGGCCCCUGAAUUGGUAAUUUUAAGGAAAUUUUGCUGUUGGUUAUUAUAUUGAAUAUUAUUAUAGAUAUAGGUAAACUGUAAACAGCAAUAAUGUUCAGCAAAGUAAGAUCUACAAAUAAGUCAACAUGAACGAAAUGGUCAAUUGACCCCUGUAGGAGUUAUUGACCUUUGUAGUCAAUUUUCAAUCUGCUUCCUUUGUUUAAUAUUCACAUAGACCAAGGUGAGCGACACAGGCUCUUUAGAGCCUCUAGUUUUUAUACUUUUUGUCCAUCAUUUCUCUUUUCUCAAUAUAUAAAUUAGCACAUCAAUAGUUCAAAUAAUAUUAUGACGUCUGGCUAGGAUGUUUUAUAAUUUUUUUCUGGGAUGCGUAGGAAGGCGUCCUAGAUAAAAAAAUAAAAUAGCCUUGUCAGACGUCAUAUUAUUUUGACUAGCAUGUCAUUUGCUCUAUUUCUUAUUACAGUCAAUUUUCUCUAUUCUUUGUUCCUUUAGUCAUAGUUCUCCAAUUUUUUUUAUACUUUUAGCCAUAGUUCCCAGUGGCAUAUCCAGGGAUAGGGUUCCGGGAUUGGAAUCUCCCCUUUUUAUGGACAAUCAAUGCAUUUGAAAGGGGACAUUUAGUUGGAACCCCCUUUAUCCUGGGUAGGGAACCCCUUUUCAAAAUGGCUGUAUCCACCCCUGGUUCCCUAUUUUGUGAACCCUCACCCUGUACUAUCUGUAAGAAAUGAUGGAUAGAGGUUUAGGAUAAAAUUAAACUAUACUUAUGUAGUUGUUAUAUUUUUCCUAUAAUUUUAUUUUGUUUGUUUUUUUUUGUUUUUGUCACACACUUUUUGGGUUCAAAAAUAAUAAUAUAAAACCAUUUAAUUAACCUUUAUACUAUUCCAGACAACCAAACAAAUCAGCACAAAUGCUUAACACAACCGUAAUAAUUUAAUUAAAAUUAUAAAGCUAACAUUGACAUGCCAAAAGUCAAGUUUUAAUCAAAAUUAUUGAAGUCUCGGGCUGAAAAAGGGGCGUUUAUUUCGUGUGGUCUGGGGGAAUUUAAUGGAUUUCAGCAUCCUAAAAGAGGCAAACAUAUAGCCAUAACCCGAUCUGAUCAAUGAAUUAUGUUAUGGAUAAUGUUGAUAUCUUUCUACUAACCAUUAAAAGUAAUAAUAGUAGGAUUUCGCGAGCUCAGAAACCUUAAUCUGUUGAAAAAUGGCGUCGAUUUAUGUGCUUCCUUUUCGCAGCCUCAGUUACAAUUUUACAAGGAGUGAUGGGUAUUUAUGCAAAUAUUUAGGGACUCCUAUCAUCAUAGAUACUAUUUUUGGUCAUUUUAUAUUUAAAUAGCCAAUAGGAUGCGAAUGUGUCAGUUAUUUUCAGAAGCGGAAAACACCCGCCAUAUUUUUAUCUUCCAAAAUAACAACGUGUCUUGCCAGUUUCAGAUGUUUGUUUCUUGUAAAAUAAAAUCUCCUAAGAAGAAAAUAUAGUAUAGUCACCUGUAAAACUUACCUAUAUAACUAAUUAAUGAUGAAAUGACACAAGUUUAAUUGUCUUUAAUAGUAAAUUUCUUGAAAAAUCAC
rnacentral:lncRNA from 1 species